UACGUAGGGCGCAAGCGUUAUCCGGAAUUAUUGGGCGUAAAGGGCUCGUAGGCGGUUUGUCGCGUCGGGAGUGAAAACACCGGGCUUAACUCGGUGCUUGCUUUCGAUACGGGCAGACUGGAGGUAUGCAGGGGAGAACGGAAUUCCUGGUGUAGCGGUGAAAUGCGCAGAUAUCAGGAGGAACACCGGUGGCGAAGGCGGUUCUCUGGGCAUUACCUGACGCUGAGGAGCGAAAGUGUGGGGAGCGAACAGG
rnacentral:rRNA from 1 species